rnacentral:rRNA from 1 species
CAGUCGACGGAAGUCGUUGUAAUGAUGUUGACAUGAACAGAGAACUUGUUCAAAGGGAAUGAAGAUUGACUUACGACAAUGGCUUUAGUGGCGGACUGGUGAGUAACACGUAAGCAACCUGCCUAUCAGAGGGGAACAACAGUUAGAAAUGACUGCUAAUACCGCAUAUACCUAAGUACCACAUGGUACAAUAGGGAAAGGAGCAAUCCGCUGAUAGAUGGGCUUGCGUCUGAUUAGAUAGUUGGUGGGGUAACGGCCUACCAAGUCGACGAUCAGUAGCCGGACUGAGAGGUUGAACGGCCACAUUGGGACUGAGGUACGGCCCAGACUCCUACGGGAGGCAGCAGUCGGGAAUAUUGCGCAAUGGAGGAAACUCUGACGCAGUGACGCCGCGUGCAGGAAGAAGGUUUUCGGAUUGUAAACUGCUUUAGACAGGGAAGAAAAAAGACAGUACCUGUAGAAUAAGCUCCGGCUAACUACGUGCCAGCAGCCGCGGUAAUACGUAGGGAGCAAGCGUUAUCCGGAUUUAUUGGGUGUAAAGGGUGCGUAGACGGGAAAACAAGUUAGUUGUGAAAUCCCUCAGCUUAACUGAGGAACUGCAACUAAAACUAUUUUUCUUGAGUGCUGGAGAGGAAAGUGGAAUUCCUAGUGUAGCGGUGAAAUGCGUAGAUAUUAGGAGGAACACCAGUGGCGAAGGCGACUUUCUGGACAGUAACUGACGUUGAGGCACGAAAGUGUGGGGAGCAAACAGGAUUAGAUACCCUGGUAGUCCACACCGUAAACGAUGGAUACUAGGUGUAG